AGGGGUAUAGUUUAAAGGUAGAAUGUCGGUCUCCAAAACCGCUGGUGAGGGUUCGAUUCCUUCUACCCCUG
rfam:Tissierellia bacterium KA00581 genomic scaffold Scaffold227, whole genome shotgun sequence.